AACGAACGCUGGCGGCAGGCCUAACACAUGCAAGUCGAACGCUCCAGCAAUGGAGAGUGGCAGACGGGUGAGUAACGCGUGGGAACCUUCCCUAUGGUUCGGAAUAGCCCAGGGAAACUUGGGGUAAUACCGAAUAAGCCCUUCGGGGGAAAGAUUUAUCGCCAUUGGAUGGGCCCGCGUCGGAUUAGCUAGUCGGUGGGGUAACGGCCUACCAAGGCGACGAUCCGUAGCUGGUCUGAGAGGAUGAUCAGCCACACUGGGACUGAGACACGGCCCAGACUCCUACGGGAGGCAGCAGUGGGGAAUAUUGGACAAUGGGCGCAAGCCUGAUCCAGCCAUGCCGCGUGAGUGACGAAGGCCUUAGGGUUGUAAAGCUCUUUUGGCGGGGAAGAUAAUGACGGUACCCGCAGAAUAAGCUCCGGCUAACUUCGUGCCAGCAGCCGCGGUAA
rnacentral:rRNA from 1 species